rnacentral:rRNA from 1 species
GUGAGGAAUAUUGCGCAAUGGCCGAAAGGCUGACGCAGCAACGCCGCGUGAGGGAUGAAGUUCUUCGGAAUGUAAACCUCUGUUAGAGGGGACGAAUGAGAGAGAGACCAAUAGACUCUCUUUUUGACGGUACCUUCAGAGAAAGCCCCGGCUAACUCCGUGCCAGCAGCCGCGGUAACACGGGGGGGGCAAGCGUUGUCCGGAAUUAUUGGGCGUAAAGGGCGCGUAGGUGGGAAAGCAAGUCUGGGGUGCAAACUUGUGGCUUAACUGCAAGCUUGCCCUGGAUACUACUUUUCUUGAAUUCGGGAGAGGGAAACGGAAUUCCUGGUGUAGCGGUGAAAUGCGUAGAUAUCAGGAAGAACACCGGUGGCGAAGGCGGUUUCCUGGCCCGAUAUUGACACUGAUGCGCGAAAGUGUGGGGAGCAAACAGGAUUAGAAACCCCAGUAGUCC